rnacentral:lncRNA from 1 species
AUGUUCCACGUAUCCAAGCGUGAAUCCAGGCGUUCCCCCAGGCCCUGUGAGAAGCUCUCACAGUCCUUCCAUGAGACAGCCCCGGGAGCGCCCCAUAAACCCCUCCACUCAGCAGUUCCACGCAAAAGGGAACUGAGGCAAAGCCUCCCCAUAAAACAGCCUCCCCCCGGCAGGAGCUGGCCCCUCAUCAUCCUCACACUCACACCUGGGCUGCUCCGAGCCCCCCAUCAUCCUCACACUCACACCUGGGCUGCUCUGAGCCCCCCAUCAUCCUCACACUCACACCUGGGGCUGCUCUGGGUUUCUUUCCAUAUGAAUUUAGGGACAAAUUCCUAUUCUUUACCAAUAGCUAUAAAAACGAAUACCUGGACAGGUUUUAGCAUUCUACACCCACCCUUCCCUGUGAAUUUGGCGGCAGCUUUGGGUCCCUCUGGGGCACGGCCCCCAGCGUGACGCCCCUUGCCCACCACCCACCUGCUCCUGCACUGCAGUGGGGCUCCCGCUCCUGGGGACCUCGGGGUGCCCCCAAUGGCAUCAGAGCCCCGAGUCUUCACCCCCUAUUCCUGACCCCCAAAGAAGGCACAGAACGAGUCAGACUGCCCUGGACAGCAGCGCAGCGCUUCCUCCAAGCCCUUUGCACACGUCCAUCCCCGCAGAAAGGGAUUCUGCUGCAACAAGAAAGGGGGGGCAGGCCCCAGAAGGGUUGAGGCUCCUCCCCAGCCUCGCUGUUACGGGCCAGGGGCAGCAAGAGGGAGCGGAAGCAGAGAGGACACAGGAAGAAAAGGAAGAACAGGGUGCAGGAUGAAAUUGAAAAACACCCAAACAAACAAAAAAAACCCAAACAAAACCCCCAAACAAACAAAGAAAAAAAACCCCAAACUGGGAUGAGCAGCACAACAGAGAGGCAUUAAAAAAGAACACAAACAGGGAAUGGGACACAAGGAUCCUCUGAGGAACAAUGGCACGGGCAGCACCACAGAGAAUAAAAAGGAACAUGAGCGAAGCA